UUAUACAGGUGGGCGCCUAAUUGGUAAAGACAUGAAAUGUAUUCCCUUGUUAUACAGGUGGGCACCUAAUUGGUAAAGACAUGAAAUGUAUUCCCUUGUUAUACAGGUGGGCGCCUAAUGGUAAAGACAUGAAAAGUAUUCCCUUGUUAUACAGGUGGGCGUCUAAUGGUAAACACAUGAAAAGUAUUCCAUUGUUAUACAGGUGGGCGCCUAAUUGGUAAAGACAUGAAAUGUAUUCCCUUGUUAUACAGGUGAGCGCCUAAUUGGUAAAGACAUGAAAUGUAUUCCCUUGUUAUACAGGUGGGCGCCUAAUGAUAAAGACAUGAAAAGUAUUCCCUUGUUAUACAGGUGGGCGCCUAAUGGUAAAGACAUGAAAAGUAUUCCUCAUGUUAUACAUGUGGGCGCCUAUUUAUCUAAAAACAUGAAAGUAUUCCUCUUGUUAUACAGGUGUGCGCCUAUUUAUCUAAAAACAUGAAAAGUAUUCCUCUUGUUAUACAGGUGGGUGCCUAUUUAUCUAAAAACAUGAAAGUAUUCCUCUUGUUAUACAGGUGGGCGCCUGUUUAUCUAAAAACAUGAAAGUAUUCCUCUUGUUAUACAGGUGGG
rnacentral:lncRNA from 1 species